GGGAUACGUUACACGAAUAUAAAAUGUUCGGUAUUUGUACAGUUACUUAUUUUUAUGUAUUUUUAAUGUGUCAUUUAAAAUGGCGAUUUGCCUCUGUCCUGGGAGAUAAUUGAAUUACUUCUCAAUUAUCUCCAGGGCAGAGAGUAGGAAGCCAGGAUGCAUUGUGGGAAUAUUUUGCGACUGUAUGUCCUAAACUGAUACAUGUCUGUCCGUGGUUACAGUCUCCCAUUUGGACCCCUAGGGGAGUGUCCACCAAGUGGGAGACCUGCAUAAAUACGGGCGGGUAGCCCACAGUUAAGCCAGUUCUUGUUUUACCCUCAAUGCGGAGCUUGGUCUCGUUAUUGGGGGGAUUUACUACACACGGUUAGCGACUGAUUGCUGGAAACGUAAGCCGCUGGGAGAUUAUAUCUAUUCAGCUGUUAGCCGCGAUUCGUGGAUUUACUGUUCGGGAGUUUGGAGGAAUAGUACGGAUACCGUUC